GGAGAGCUUGCUCUCCGGAUCAGUGGCGAACGGGUUGAGUAACACGUGAGCAAUCUGCCCCUGACUCUGGGAUAAGCGUUGGAAACGACGUCUAAUACCGGAUACGAGCUGCGAAGGCAUCUUCAGCAGCUGGAAAGAACUUCGGUCAGGGAUGAGCUCGCGGCCUAUCAGCUAGUUGGUGAGGUAAUGGCUCACCAAGGCGUCGACGGGUAGCCGGCCUGAGAGGGUGACCGGCCACACUGGGACUGAGACACGGCCCAGACUCCUACGGGAGGCAGCAGUGGGGAAUAUUGCACAAUGGGCGCAAGCCUGAUGCAGCAACGCCGCGUGAGGGACGACGGCCUUCGGGUUGUAAACCUCUUUUAGCAGGGAAGAAGCGAAAGUGACGGUACCUGCAGAAAAAGCACCGGCUAACUACGUGCCAGCAGCCGCGGUAAUACGUAGGGUGCAAGCGUUAUCCGGAAUUAUUGGGCGUAAAGAGCUCGUAGGCGGUUUGUCGCGUCUGCUGUGAAAACCCGAGGCUCAACCUCGGGCCUGCAGUGGGUACGGGCAGACUAGAGUGCGGUAGGGGAGAUUGGAAUUCCUGGUGUAGC
rnacentral:rRNA from 1 species